UACGGAGGGUGCAAGCGUUAUCCGGAUUCACUGGGAUUAAAGGGUGCGUAGGCGGGUUGGUAAGUCCGUGGUGAAAUCCCCAAGCUUAACUUGGGAACUGCCGUGGAUACUAUCAAUCUUGAAUAUCGUGGAGGUAAGCGGAAUAUGUCAUGUAGCGGUGAAAUGCUUAGAUAUGACAUAGAACACCAAUUGCGUAGGCAGCUUACUACACGAUCAUUGACGCUGAGGCACGAAAGCGUGGGGAGCAAGCAGG
rnacentral:rRNA from 1 species